rnacentral:rRNA from 2 species
ACCGCCUGGGGAGUACGGCCGCAAGGUUAAAACUCAAAUGAAUUGACGGGGGCCCGCACAAGCGGUGGAGCAUGUGGUUUAAUUCGAUGCAACGCGAAGAACCUUACCUACUCUUGACAUCCAGAGAACUUUCCAGAGAUGGAUUGGUGCCUUCGGGAACUCUGAGACAGGUGCUGCAUGGCUGUCGUCAGCUCGUGUUGUGAAAUGUUGGGUUAAGUCCCGCAACGAGCGCAACCCUUAUCCUUUGUUGCCAGCGGUUCGGCCGGGAACUCAAAGGAGACUGCCAGUGAUAAACUGGAGGAAGGUGGGGAUGACGUCAAGUCAUCAUGGCCCUUACGAGUAGGGCUACACACGUGCUACAAUGGCAUAUACAAAGAGAAGCGACCUCGCGAGAGCAAGCGGACCUCAUAAAGUAUGUCGUAGUCCGGAUUGGAGUCUGCAACUCGACUCCAUGAAGUCGGAAUCGCUAGUAAUCGUAGAUCAGAAUGCUACGGUGAAUACGUUCCCGGGCCUUGUACACACCGCCCGUCACACCAUGGGAGUGGGUUGCAAAAGAAGUAGGUAGCUUAACCUUCGGGAGGGCGC